GCGAACGCUGGCGGCAGGCCUAACACAUGCAAGUCGCACGAACCUUUCGGGGUUAGUGGCGGACGGGUGAGUCACACGUGGGAACGUGCCUUUAGGUUCGGAAUAACUCAGGGAAACUUGUGCUAAUACCGAAUGUGCCCUUCGGGGGAAAGAUUAAUCGCCUUUAGAGCGGCCCGCGUCUGAUUAGCUAGUUGGUUGAGGUAAUGGCUCACCAAGGCGACGAUCAGUAGCUGGUCUGAGAGGAUGAUCAGCCACAUUGGGACUGAGACACGGCCCAAACUCCUACGGGAGGCAGCAGUGGGGAAUCUUGCGCAAUGGGCGAAAGCCUGACGCAGCCAUGCCGCGUGAAUGAUGAAGGUCUUAGGAUUGUAAAAUUCUUUCACCGGGGACGAUAAUGACGGUACCCGGAGAAGAAGCCCCGGCUAACUUCGUG
rnacentral:rRNA from 1 species